CACCCACAUCACAGCUGGCUUUAUCAGGCCCCUCCUGGAGUCCAUCAGGCAUCUGAGUCCCUCAUUUCUCAGCUCGGCUUGUCUCACCCGUAUCUGUGGGGCUUGAAGCAGCUCAAGUUUUCUUCUGUUUAUUCUCUGCAAACAGAGGAGAGAGCCUCAAUUGAAAUGUACUUGGGGCAGUGACCUAAUCAAAGAAGAGAAUGAGCCGAAUGGAUGCCAGGACUGCACUGGAAUACCACCAGUUCGUUAUAAGGCCCCUUCGUGCAAACUCAAGUGUCUACAAAGAAUGCAGAGUAUUGCAAGGAGUGCAGAAGACUGAAGCAGAAGACGACCCAGGAGCAGGGCAGCAGAUGGCAAAGCGCAUCUUCCCGGCGCCCAGACACUACAGACCCGUGUAGCUCCUGCUGACUGUCGCCAGAUGGGAAUGAAAUGGUUUUUAAAGGUUCACAUGAUCAUUGCAGGGCUUUUCACGCCGCCACAUCCAGACCCAGACUUCCACAAUAACCGUCUGCCUCCUUUAUCAGCCAGCCCCAUCCUACCUGCAUUACCCAGCACCCACUCCUCACUUCAGCUGAUAUCGAAGAGCCUUCGUGAAAUGAUGCCGACCUUCCCGUCCAGCCUCACCUUCCACGUUUAUUCUAUUUGUGCCUUACUCUUCGGGUCAACACGCUUGAUUGCUUACAGGCCUCUCACCCCUCUGUCUCCUUGGAAACGCCUCCCUCCUCCACUGGUUUGGCUCCAUCCUUCAGGAAGAUGCUUGCAGACCUUCUAAGCAACCUUUCAGGACUAUCCCUCUAGAAUUGAGCCCUGUGUGACUUGCAUAUUCCAGUAGACACGCUCCCUCUUUUCUUCCCCACAAAACUGUGAGAUGCCCGAAUAUAGCCGUCCUUUCUUCUCCUCAAUGCCUACAGCAUGUUUGGACAUACAGCAGAUGUUUUAACAAUAUCCUCAAAAAAAAAAAAAAAGUAAAAAAAAAAAAGUAAAAAAAAA